rnacentral:rRNA from 1 species
AGAGUUUGAUCAUGGCUCAGGAUUAACGCUGGCGGUAUGCCUAAUACAUGCAAGUCGAACGAAAAUCUUCGGAUUUUAGUGGCGAACGGGUGAGUAACGUAUGUUUAAUCUACCUUGUAGUUUGGAAUAACCAUUGGAAACGAUGGCUAAUACUGAAUACUAUUUAUAAUGGAAUCUUUAUAAAUUAAAAGGGGCGUUUGCCCCGCUAUAAGAUGAGAACAUAUUACAUUAGCUAGUUGGUAGGGUAAAGGCCUACCAAGGCAAUGAUGUAUAGCCGAGCCGAGAGGUUGAUCGGCCACAAUGGGACUGAGACACGGCCCAUACUCCUACGGGAGGCAGCAGUAGGGAAUUUUUCACAAUGGACGAAAGUCUGAUGAAGCAAUACCGCGUGAGGGAAGACGGUUUUAGGACUGUAAACCUCUGUUAUAAGGGAAGAAUAUGUCGGAGAGGAAAUGCUCCGUGCAGUGACGGUACUUUAUUAGAAAGUCACGGCUAACUAUGUGCCAGCAGCCGCGAUAAUACAUAGGUGGCAAGCGUUAUCCGGAUUUAUUGGGCGUAAAGAGUGCACAGGUGGUUAUAUAAGUUUGAUGUUAAAGACCGAAGCUCAACUUCGGUUCGCAUUGAAAACUGUAUAACUAGAAUGCAGGUGGGAAUAGUGGAAUUCGAUGUGUAGCGGUGGGAUGCAUAAAUAUAUCGAGGAACACCAGUGGCGAAGGCGGCUAUUUGAACUGUAAUUGACACUUAAGCACGAAAGCGUGGGGAGCAAAUAGGAUUAGAUACCCUAGUAGUCCACGCCGUAAACGAUCUAGAUUAGAUGUCGGAAUUAUUCGGUAUCGCAGCUAACGCAUUAAGUCUAGCGCCUGGGUAGUACGCACGCAAGUGUAAAACUCAAAGGAAUUGACGGGGACCCGCACA